GCAUAUCAAUAAGCGGAGGAAAAGAAACCAACAGGGAUUGCUCUAGUAACGGCGAGUGAAGCAGCAAUAGCUCAAAUUUGAAAUCUGGCGUCUUCGACGUCCGAGUUGUAAUUUGUAGAGGAUGCUUCUGAGUGGCCACCGACCUAAGUUCCUUGGAACAGGACGUCAUAGAGGGUGAGAAUCCCGUAUGCGGUCGGAAAGGCGCUCUAUACGUAGCUCCUUCGACGAGUCGAGUUGUUUGGGAAUGCAGCUCUAAAUGGGAGGUAAAUUUCUUCUAAAGCUAAAUAUUGGCCAGAGACCGAUAGCGCACAAGUAGAGUGAUCGAAAGAUGAAAAGCACUUUGGAAAGAGAGUUAAAAAGCACGUGAAAUUGUUAAAAGGGAAGGGAUUGCAACCAGACUUGCUCGCGGUGUUCCGCCGGUCUUCUGACCGGUCUACUCGCCGCGUUGCAGGCCAGCAUCGUCUGGUGCCGCUGGAUAAGACUUGAGGAAUGUAGCUCCCUCGGGAGUGUUAUAGCCUCUUGUGAUGCAGCGAGCGCCGGGCGAGGUCCGCGCUUCGGCUAGGAUGCUGGCGUAAUGGUCGUAAUCCGCCCGUCUUGAAACACGGACCAAGGAGUCUAACAUCUAUGCGAGUGUUCGGGUGUCAAACCCCUACGCGUAAUGAAAGUGAACGGAGGUGAGAACCGCAAGGUGCAUCAUCGACCGAUCCUGAUGUCUUCGGAUGGAUUUGAGUAAGAGCAUAGCUGUUGGGACCCGAAAGAUGGUGAACUAUGCCUGAAUAGGGUGAAGCCAGAGGAAACUCUGGUGGAGGCUCGCAGCGGUUCUGACGUGCAAAUCGAUCGUCAAAUUUGGGUAUAGGGGCGAAAGACUAAUCGAACCAUCUAGUAGCUGGGUUCCUGCCGAAGU
rnacentral:rRNA from 1 species